rnacentral:rRNA from 1 species
UACGAAGGGGGCUAGCGUUGCUCGGAAUUACUGGGCGUAAAGCGCACGUAGGCGGAUUGUUAAGUCGGGGGUGAAAUCCUGGAGCUCAACUCCAGAACUGCCUUCGAUACUGGCGAUCUCGAGUUCGGGAGAGGUGAGUGGAACUGCGAGUGUAGAGGUGAAAUUCGUAGAUAUCUGCAGGAACACCCGUGGCGAAAGCGGCGCGCUGGACCACUACUGACGCUGAGGAACGAAAGCUAGGGGAGCAAACAGG